rnacentral:rRNA from 1 species
UACGUAGGGUGCAGGCGUUAAUCGGAAUUACUGGGCGUAAAGCGUGCGCAGGCGGUUUCUUAAGUCAGAUGUGAAAGCCCCGGGCUCAACCUGGGAACUGCAUUUGUGACUGCAUCGCUGGAGUGCGGCAGAGGGGGAUGGAAUUCCGCGUGUAGCAGUGAAAUGCGUAGAUAUGCGGAGGAACACCGAUGGCGAAGGCAAUCCCCUGGGCCUGCACUGACGCUCAUGCACGAAAGCGUGGGGAGCAAACAGG